rnacentral:rRNA from 1 species
GAUGAACGCUGGCGGCGUGCCUAAUACAUGCAAGUCGAGCGAACAGACGAGGAGCUUGCUCCUCUGACGUUAGCGGCGGACGGGUGAGUAACACGUGGAUAACCUACCUAUAAGACUGGGAUAACUUCGGGAAACCGGAGCUAAUACCGGAUAAUAUAUUGAACCGCAUGGUUCAAUAGUGAAAGACGGUUUUGCUGUCACUUAUAGAUGGAUCCGCGCUGCAUUAGCUAGUUGGUAAGGUAACGGCUUACCAAGGCCACGAUGCGUAGCCGAGCUGAGAGGGUGAUCGGCCACACUGGGACUGAGACGCGGUCCAGACUCCUACGGGAGGCAGCAGUAGGGAAGCUUCCGCAAUGGGCGAAAGCUUGACGGAGCAACGCCGCGUGAGUGAUGAAGGUCUUCGGGUCGUAAAACUCUGUUAUUGGGGAAGAACAAAUGUGUAAGUAACUAUGCUCGUCUUGACGGUACCUAAUCAGAAAGCCACGGCUAACUACGUG